rnacentral:misc_RNA from 1 species
AAUUCUCAAAAUAAAUCUUUUGUUAAUUCAAUUGGUUUCAUUUUGGACUUGGGGGUCUGCAGAUUAACUUCUGCUCCUCUUAAAUAUAUUAGCUGGAUUUCGGAGAGGUCGGUUCCACUCGGCGUGAUAAGUAUCACUCGCUGAGGACACUGUAAAAGGUGGCCGGGCUCACUGCAGAACCGCUUCUAAUAGUCCAUUAAAUUGGACAGCUAUUUAUG